rnacentral:lncRNA from 1 species
AUGCUGUUUGCCAUUGUUCAGUUUAUUGAUGAGGAGGAUCAGCCAUUUGCAGUGGUUCCGCAAGUGUGGCUCAGCGAGGGCAUGUGCUAUUGGCCCCCAUUUAACCUCCGCAAAAAAGACAAAGGCAACAAUUUAGCCAUCCGCUGCACGCCUCCACACAGCACCUGGGAGAAACAUCAUUUUAAGUUUAUGAAGGGAGCAGAAUGUUGGCAAGAGGCGAUGAGAUAUUUGGUGCGCUUCCAAACAGGUUCUAGCGUUGAAACGACGGACGAUGACAAGAAGAGAAAGAGAAAGAGAAUCUCAAAUUCCAAGUACAGACCCCAGGCCUCUUCUGAUGAAGAGGAGUCUAGUCUUCCAGAUGCACCAGCAGUGCUGUCGUUUGGACAACCUCUUUUGAGCUUUGAAAACAUUGUUCCUGGUAACAAGGUUUCAGUGCUGCCCGAUGCUCCAGAAGUUGCAUCGAUUCCAGAAAACCAGGAAAAUGUUGUGCCAUCUGUAGACUUCAGAGGUGGUAUGUAAAAUUGCUGUGAUGCUUGAUUUGUGAUCCUGCCACUAAACUAUACCCUUUGUUAGAUUUUCAAAUUUCUGUUUCCUCUUUCUCAGAACCAGGUUUCUCCCCAGAAAUUCAGACUCCACUUCACAGAGCCAAGAGUUUGAGUACAAGUAAGUGAUGUUAUUUGUGACGUUUUUUUGUCUUGGAAACUAUUGCUUAUGCAAUAACUUCAAACAUAUUUUUACGUCAAUGAUUAUCAAUAGGAGAAAGUCAUCGCUCUGUAAUUGGCCCUUGGACUCCCCUGGCAUCUCGUGUACAGCAUUAAGUUUUCAGCUAUGAAGGUAUAUUUUAGGCCUAUGUCUUAGUGUCCAGUGUUUUAAAAGUAUUGAAAAUAGUGCCUUUAGGUGUUUUUUUUUUUUUGUUGUUGUUUUGUUUUUUAAUGUAGAUUUCCAGAGACUCCAGAAUGAAAAACAAGCCGUGAUGGAGGAGAACCAAGCCCUUAGGGAGGAGAACCAAGCCCUUAGGGAGGAGAACCAGGCCCUUAGGGAGGAGAACCAAGCUCUGAGGGAGGAGAACCAAGCUCUGAGGGAAAGCACUGCACAAGCAGGUAAGAACAUGCACAAAAAAGUCAAACUUAGGAAAGAGUAUGUGAUGUAUGUACAAAAUUACCAUAUGCCUUUCAUUUUGUAGCUUCGGAUGACAGCGGCUCACUUCAAGAGCAGGUGAAGCAAGUUGGGACAAUGUUGAAGACGUUUGCUCGCACUGGGCAAUCAGGUACAACUUGCAAACAACACCUGUGGUUGUUGGUUUAAUUCCCACUGGGGCCACCUAUACAUGUAGUAGACCUAGAUAUAAAUGUCAUAGUUUAGUAGUUGAGGGACCAGGACUGACUAUUAUUUUAUUUAACCCCUGUAGGUGCAGAUCAGACCUUAAUGCUGCGACGUCUUGGAGAGUUUGGCGAUGUUGUGCGUAGCAUGGACAACAAAAUGGACACUAUGCUGCAACAUUUCAGUGCCAAUGUGUCUGUUGGAGAGUUAUCCCUGCCAGGGGAUCUGUUACUCCCCCUAGACACCCAGGAAGAUUUGGCGUUGCUUGACAACAGUUUGAGGCAGGAUAAAGAGCUCCAGGAACGAUUUGUAAGUGUGCUGAUUUAGUUUAUAACUCCAUAGGGUAAUGUAAAAAGUAGAAUUAAGAUUGUACACUGCAUAUUCUACAGUCUGAAUCCAUAGCCUGUCACAUUUUAUAUUUAUGUAUGAUAAGCUUCAGAGAAAUGUAAUUUGUAACACUUUUUUUGGAUUUUCAGCUUCGGUUUUUGGCAAUCAAAUGUGGGAGGGACCUAAAGACAACCGUCUGGCGGAUGCUUCAAAGUAUCUUCUCUAAUCACCUUUCCAUCAAUACAACCUGGACUGGAGUUGGGGAUAAAGCAUGUUUUAGAGACAUGUUCCUGAAGACCAUUGUUCAAAGUAAGUUGGAUGUAAAAAAAAAAUAUGUUUAGUAGAUGUGUAUGGCAUUAUGCCAUUCAAAUGUAAUGACAGAUCUGUAUUUUCUACAGGAGCCAUCCGGAAGAACCCGGCAACACAGGAUGCCACUGAUGAAGCCAUCCAGGUUAACGUUACGCGUUACCUGAAAGGAGCAUCUGACCGUGAAGGCGGAAAAAGGCGCCGCACAGCUGAGAGGGACCCACAGCCGACCCCUUAAACCUAGGCUGACUACUGACAUCCCAGCAUCACUGACAACUGGAACCCUUUCUUUAUCCUGCAGUCAGUAACAUCAAGACCCCUAAAGAAGCCAGAAGUGUCAGACUGCACUCCCCAAUCCACACUGUUCACUGUGGAUAUUAUCAUAGUGCUUAACUUAUUAUAUUGUUAAAUAUAGCUUGUAAAUCCUUGUGCCACAGGUCAGCAUUGCAGUUAUAUCUGUUCUACUACUUUUUUUACCUCAGUAUUUUUUAUAUAUAUUUGAAGAUGUUUAUCACAGAUACAAGAGACAUCUUGUACCCCAGGUCAGCAAUGCCAUUAUAAUGGUCUAUUCUACUCCAGAGCUUUAUUCUAAAUUAUUACCACUUAUCUUAUUGUUAGAAAUGGCUUGUAAAUGUGAUGUUAUACCUGAAUUUUUUUUGGUGUCCUGCACAUUCUUUGGUACCAGAUAUACUCAUUACUUAUGUUUACUGGUAAUUCUUUUCAUGCCAGAGCUGACCUCUUUAUAUUAUUAACAAUUAUUGUAAGUGUUAUAAUUUGCUUGUAAGCUAAGGCUGUUUUUUUUUUUAACAAUUUAAUUGGAAACCUGCAUGUGUGUGUGUGUGUGUGUGUGUAUUUAUUUUUUUUUUUUCUGUUAUUUAUAUUUCAGGGAUCUGACAUCAUGUUUCAAUGACAGUUACUGUACUUUGAAAUGUGGAAUUAAAACGUCAAAUGGAAAUUUGUCUGGUUUGAUCAAUCAUUAUUCUUGAUAAACUGCAUAAUAUAUAUAUAUAUAAUAUAUAUAUAAAUAAAUAAAUAAGCAAGCGGCGACCGAUCGCUCGAAAAUAGCGUUUGCCUCCGACGGGCCGCGGAAGGGUCGCCUUUGAUAUAACGGCGGCGGGACGGCGGUUGGCCCGCGGGCCGGCCGCGGAACGAAGGCGGUAGGAAGGCGGCUGCCGCUUCUAAAAAGCGGCUGCCGCCGGCGGUGCACCGUCAAACGUGUUUGCGAUUACGCUAUUCUGACGCUUCUACUGCCGCCGGAGCGCCGCCGGCGGUCCGCCGACUCAUUGCUAUCUGGGCUGUUGCCACACCCACCCCCCCAGUUGAACUGCUGACUAGUUAUCAACUUUUUCGUUGUUGUCAUGACCGCGCACGCACGUGCAUACCAGACCCACUGGGAAGGAACUUUUAGAUGCAUGUCUUCCAAUUCGAAAAAUGGAGAAAGUGAGCCACCGCCAUCAUCAAUUAAAAAAGCGAAGGUGUGUUCUGUUGCAAACUGUUUUUUAUUUUUAUUUAUUUAUUAUGCGCCUGCCUUUACUAACAUGCAAGUUCACAAUCCUUUCUCCCCCUUCUCGUCCCGUGAACCUCUGGAGUAGUGAGUUUAUCUUUUUUUUUUUUUUUUUUUUUUUUACUGUUCCUGUGGUGUUGAGCAGCUACAAUUCAUUUUAAUCCUAUAAUUUUAUAUUAUAAUUUAUUUAAAGUGAAUAAAUUGUAAUGCAAAAUAAAUAAAAUAGCUAAAGUAAAUCGUAAUACGUGGAAGUGCAUCUGUCAAUUCUGUCAUGAGCAUACAUCAGCAAUUACACAUGUUUAGGGGAAUAGAGCAUUAUUAAUAUACCAUGUAAGGUGGUAUGUGCUAGAAAUAGGUAAACCACUAUCAGUGAGUCUGUCCAUGGGGUGGGGGCACCGCCGCGCAAGGCAGUGUCCCACAUUGUCCCUCAGAAACAUACCCAUGGGCUUAUUAGCAGGUGGUCACCCUACACGCACAUUAUAGUAGAAGUGCAAAAAUGAAAGCGAGAAAAGUCCUCUUGUUAUUAUGUCUCAAUCCUGGGCGUCUAAACGAACAUUUCAAUCUUGGCCUGACCGCGAAUAGUUUUUUUUUUUUUUUUUUUUUUGACCCCGCUUUGCUUCACAACAGAUGAGUCAUGGCAGUGCGCAGUUAGCACGGACUGAAAUUCACUCGUUCUUGGCAGUUCUUGGACCGUUGCUUUUCCUUUUAACUACCUGUGAAAUUGCGUCGCUAUUAUAUCUGAAGAACCGACCGGUUUAUAAUUCAGAAUCUGCAUUCAUUUUCC